rnacentral:rRNA from 1 species
UACGGGGGGGGGCAAGCGUUGUUCGGAAUUACUGGGCGUAAAGGGCGCGUAGGCGGCCCGCUAAGUCGAACGUGAAAUCCCCGAGCUCAACUCGGGAACUGCGUCCGAUACUGGCGGGCUUGAAUCCGGGAGAGGGAUGCGGAAUUCCAGGUGUAGCGGUGAAAUUCGUAGAUAUUCGCAAGAACACCAGUGGCGAAGGCGGCUCACUGGCCCAUUACUGACGCUGAGGCACGAAAGCGUGGGGAGCAAACAGG